UAAACGACUCUCGGCAACGGAUAUCUCGGCUCUCGCAUCGAUGAAGAACGUAGCGAAAUGCGAUACUUGGUGUGAAUUGCAGAAUCCCGUGAACCAUCGAGUCUUUGAACGCAAGUUGCGCCCGAAGCCUGCUGGCCGAGGGCACGCCUGCCUGGGCGUCACGCA
rnacentral:rRNA from 1 species